GCUAAGCUGUGUGCCCCAAUAAUCACGUUCUCCUUUUAAUAACGUAAAAUAAUAGUAAAUAAAAACAGCACCAAACUCCGGAAAACACUCUCAAAGGUCUUUUCUCCUGAGGAUCUGCCAUCUGAGGUUUUCUGCAGCUGUGCAAGAAUUAUUGAAGAACUGGCACGUGAGGAGAAUAAUCAAUCUUUGAAAUGUUCCAGACUAAUCCUGAUUUUUAAUCCUCUCACACAUCACACCACCAUGAGAGACCUUACAUUUUAGGGAUACAGUACUGCUGUCUAGUGCUAAUACUAUCCUCAUUGCCAGUUAGUUACAUAAGCUGACAGAAAACAGAGCAUGUGUCCUUGCAUUUUAAGCUCUAGAGACGUUCUCCUUUUCUGAGUUCUCAAAGCUGUAAGCUGUUUUGCAGACAAAGUUGUGCAGCAUAUUUGGCUGAAAAACUACAAUUACCCUUAAAGUACAUCUUUCUCAGCAACUCAAAGCACCAGUGAAUUCUGUUAUGUAUUGUAAUGCAUCAAAGAUCCAUUAGCUCGCAAACUGAUCAAGUAUUUAAGUUUAUUAAUAUGAAGUGUUGUGAUUCAAACUUCCAUUAUGAUCUCUUCUUAGAACUAAAGAAAGAAUAAAACAUUUGAACAAAAUAAUUAUUUUCUUUAUUGUUUUAGCUUUUUUUUUUUCUUUCUUGAUUCCAGAUUACCUUUGAAGCUUAUUUCAUGAGCUAUCUAAUUCUGGUUAGACUGCUAAACCAGGCUCCUCCUGAAGAGCAGCAUGGUGGAACUUGUCAUCUUUAUGAAUGGCAGAGACCUUCCUGCGGAGAAAACAAGUUGAGACCUGGGAAUGGUGAUGCUGAAGGGCAGCAAGUGAGUGAGUAUGUCAGAUGAUCAGGUAAGAUAGAAGCUCUAAUCUUUUUUGGUUCUGAAAUCAGCUUCACUGUUCAGAUCCUCUGUGGGUUGUCGUUUACUGUUGCACCAGGCUAGCCAGUACAUACAAGCUGAAUAAUUAACUCCUUAGUUAGAGAGAAGACCUGCUGAGAUCAGACUGCAGUUUUUCAUUCAGCAAUACAUUUCAGACCCUCCCUCUCAGCUAUUCAGCUUCUAAUUUUCUCAAAAUGUGAAAGAAUGUGCAUUUUUUUUUUCAGUUAAGCUUGCUCCUUCUUCCAUGCUCUCACCAAACUGGGUCAAAAUAAUCCAGGAGGUCCAAAAGUGACUGGGGACGUGUACUGGGUCUGUCUGGGACAGAGUUAACUUUCCCUGCAGCAGUCCAUAUAGUGGUGUGCUCUGCACCUGUAGCUAGAACAGCAUUGGUAUCACUCCAGUGUUGUGUGUACUUCUGAGCAGUGCUGGCACUGCAUCAGAACUUCCUCCAACCCCUCCAGAGCCAGAAGGCUGGGGUGGGCAAAAGGCAAGGAAGGAACAUCACCAGGGCAGCUGACCUAAACCAACCAACGGAUAUUCCAUACCAUGUGGUGUCACACUCAGCAAUAAAAGGCAGAAAAAGAAAGAACA
rnacentral:lncRNA from 1 species